rnacentral:rRNA from 1 species
UACGUAGGGUGCAAGCGUUGUCCGGAAUUAUUGGGCGUAAAGAGCUCGUAGGCGGUCUGUCGCGUCGGCUGUGAAAUCCCGGAGCUCAACUCCGGGUCUGCAGUCGAUACGGGCAAACUGGAGUACUGCAGGGGAGACUGGAAUUCCGGGUGGAGUGGUGAAAUGCGUAGAUAUCCGGAGGAAUACCAAAGGCGAAGGCAGUGUUCUGGGUGGUACCUGACGCUCAGGGGCGAAAGCUAGGGGAGCGAACGGG